rnacentral:tRNA from 1 species
GGGGUUGUGGCUCAGUGGAAGAGUGCUUGCCUAGCAUGCAUGAGGUACUGGGUUCGAUCCUCAGCAACACAU